AUUGAACGCUGGCGGCAGGCCUAACACAUGCAAGUCGGACGGUAGCACAGAGAGCUUGCUCUCGGGUGACGAGUGGCGGACGGGUGAGUAAUGUCUGGGGAUCUGCCCGAUAGAGGGGGAUAACCACUGGAAACGGUGGCUAAUACCGCAUAACGUCGCAGGACCAAAGAGGGGGACCUUCGGGCCUCUCACUAUCGGAUGAACCCAGAUGGGAUUAGCUAGUAGGCGGGGUAACGGCCCACCUAGGCGACGAUCCCUAGCUGGUCUGAGAGGAUGACCAGCCACACUGGAACUGAGACACGGUCCAGACUCCUACGGGAGGCAGCAGUGGGGAAUAUUGCACAAUGGGCGCAAGCCUGAUGCAGCCAUGCCGCGUGUAUGAAGAAGGCCUUCGGGUUGUAAAGUACUUUCAGCGGGGAGGAAGGCGAUGUGGUUAAUAACCGCAUUGAUUGACGUUACCCGCAGAAGAAGCACCGGCUAACUCCGUGCCAGCCGCCGCAGUAAGAC
rnacentral:rRNA from 1 species